UGUGAACAUCUAAUGAAAUUUUCUCAAGAGACUGCUCAGAGCAUUUUCCUUUCUUAUCCCUCUGAGAUUGGCCAUGAGAUGAUGGGAGUGACCAUCUGUAGGAACGAGAAAUGCAACCAAGCUGAGAGGAGCAGAGUCAGUCCAGUUUUGUCAAGGUUUGUCAGAAUUGCUCUGCAACUGUCUCUGAAGGCUUUUUAUUUCUCUUUUCAAGGAUGAAGGUGUGGAAACCUAUAGGUGAUGUUGCAUAUUUCCUGGCAUCAUUCUCCAUUGCAGAGCUGCAUCUCUGAAAUCCAGUUAAUUUAAGAAGAGUUACACCAGCCUGAGUACUACAUGUAACGUACCUUAGCAAUCAGAGAAUUGGGCCUUCUACACGUCUGGUGGUGCCGUUUGAAGGAAGGACAGCUUGAAAAACCCAGCCAAGCUGCCCUCUGCUGCCACCUCAGGCAUAUUUUGAAUCUUUCCCAGGUUGAAUGUUGCCCUCAUCGAUCCUUCCCUGACUACUGGAACUAUGGCUGUGAAGAUUUAGUUUCUUUUGAGGGCCUGCAUCAAAUAUGCUUAUCUGAGCUUCAUUCACCUUCCUCUGCAUUCUAGUCUGUUGAAGUAGACCUUUUCAAGGACAAAUGUAGCAAGUCACACAAUGACUAAAUAAAGUCUGCAGGAUUUCCUUGUGAUAUGAUAAAUUUUCAACACAACAAAGCAGAAAUUAAGUAGAAAUGCAUAAGGAAAUCCCAUGAAGGACUGAUAGAAAUGAAUUCAGAACUUUUUGCAGCAUAAUUUGGACAAGACAUAAUAAAGUCCACCAUAUACAAGUGAGAAGCAAUAAGUAAGAAGUAUAUAACUAGUAAACCAGCUCUCGAUUAAUUUAUAUUCUUUGCUACACAUUUAUGGUGAAACUCAUCUGUGUAUUAAGGGUCAUCAGAAGGUUCUAGACAAUACUGAUGCUCUACUUAUACUUCUUAUUAAGGGUAAAACUCACCCUAUUGAAGAGGACAAGCUUAAGAUCUAUGCACUCACUUAGUACCACUUAUCCCAAUUUUCACUUAACAAGGGCGCUUAUGCAAGACUCCUCCAGAAAGUGCCAAGUUUCUGCCAAGGAAGGCAGUGAGAGCUCCAGGAUCCCUCCGCAGCCAAAGCCAACGUGCGACAAGGGCAAUCCCCUCCAGGAGUUCCAUCUGGUGAGAUCAGGCCAAUUCUAUCUCUAUGCAAGCCUGAGGAUCGUGGAUGAAAGGAGCUGUGACUGAGUGCAAAGGCCUGGAAUGGAGCUGCAAGGCUGCACAGGGCCUGAGCUAUUCCUCGGAAGAGGUUGAAUUGUGCAGGUGAGCUCUGGGAGGUCUCAGUGACCACCUGCACGAUUAACUGCUGCAACUCCAGGAGUAUUUUUUGACAAGAUGUGUUUGUGUAAUUCUGUAAAAUCAAAGCAGUGGAAGACAUGGCGAAAAGUCUGUUUUACAAUGCCAUGGGAGUAUUUCAUGUGGUUGGGCCAACACAGAGGAAACAGCAAUUGCAAUGUUAGCAGUGAAUGAUAGCACAGUGCAGCUAAGAAUACAUUCAGCAAACUGAGAUCCUAUUUUUACACUGACAAAAAAGAGAAAAAAUGUAAAAUAUGUGU